rnacentral:rRNA from 1 species
AAACCAGCACCUCAAGUGGUCAGGAUGAUUAUUGGGCCUAAAGCAUCCGUAGCCGGCUCUGUAAGUUUUCGGUUAAAUCUGUACGCUUAACGUACAGGCUGCCGGGAAUACUGCAGAGCUAGGGAGUGGGAGAGGUAGACGGUACUCGGGAGGAAGGGGUAAAAUCCUUUGAUCUUUCGAUGACCACCUGUGGCGAAGGCGGUCUACCAGAACAUGUCCGACGGUGAGGGAUGAAAGCUGGGGGAGCAAACCGGAUUAGAAACCCGAGUAGUCC